rnacentral:lncRNA from 1 species
CACCCUGCUUUGACGAGGAAUAUACACCAAUUUGCUUGGGAUAGAGGAAGCGGCUCUUCGGGUGUUGAAAUGCCACAGUGGGAAACACCAAGAAGCAAUCCGGAGCAGCCCACCAUGUUUGCACCUCCAACUGACAUUAGAAACCCCGUGCAUGAUCAAUCCAUGUGGAGUUUCACACGUGGGAGUCCUGUAGAUUCUCCGUUCGCUUCUCGAGGAGGGCCGAGUUCAGCUAUUCAUGGGCAGCAGCAGCAGCCAUCAAAUCCCGCAUGGAUUCCUCCUCAGAGUGGCCCAAUACAUGAUCCAACGAGAGCAUCAGAACUAUCUCCUUGGUCUUUAUUUCCUAGUAUUGAAUCUCAAUCUGCUAGUCAUGGUCCCUUGUUGCCCACAGGUCCUUCUCUUUCCUCAAAUGAGGCUGCAAUGCCAUCUAGCUCUAAUAGCCGGAGCCAUCGCUCACGGCAAAGAAGGUCAGGGUUGUUAUCUGAGAGACAGAAUGAGCUUCUCCACUUGCGUCACUUAGGGAGGAGCUUAGCUGCUGACAGUGAUGGAAGGAAUCACCUUAUCUCUGAGGUCUGUCUUCUAUAUAUUACUCAGCUCUUUAAUGAUUAUUCUUAACAGCCUACAAUAGCAUUUGACCAUUUCUUGGGGGGUGAUGUUUUCUGGUGUUUUACUUUUGUGAUAUAAUCUGGUUUUGUACUUUUGUGAUCUAAGUUAAUAUAUGAGUGCUAGAGCAGUUUGGUGCAUUCUGAUAUGACUUAAUGCAAACCAUAGUAACGUUAUGGGAGAUGUUUCUUGUUUUGUAAACCUCCUUUUUGUUUUUGUUUUUUGUACUUCGAUAAGAGUUUUAAUAGUGAGUUGUACUGUACUCUUUCCUCUUUUUGUUCGCAGAUACGUCAGGUGUUGUCCGCCAUGAGAAGAGGGGAAAGUUUACGUAUUGAGGUAUGAUUUUGACACAAGUGAUUCUCUUGUUUAUAUCAGUUUAUUGGUAGACGUGUUUUCCUGAAGUGUGCGAAGGAGUCCCUGAAUACACGUUUUAGCUUUAUAACUUUUAAACCAUAGUUUCCUGCAAACAAGUGCCUGACAUCUUUGUAGCUGCAAUGUAUCAUAGUCUUAAGUGUUAUAGGUCUCACAUUACGAACAUAGUCUUAGCCACUUGUGAGUUCCUUUUAUUCCUUUCUGAAGCAUUACAUGUGUAGCUUACCUUCCUGUUUCUCCAUUCGAUAGGAUUACAUGGUGUUGGAUCCACUUAUCUUCCAGGGUAUGACUGAAAUGCACGAUAGGCAUCGGGAAAUGCGCCUUGAUGUCGACAACAUGUCGUACGAGGUGAGUAUUCAAUUUCCUUUUUGACUGUUUAAUCGCAAUCUUCCCAUUUGCCAAUGUUGUCUGGGAAUGAAUGUAGGAGCUAUUGGCACUUGGGGAACGCAUAGGAGAUGUGAGCACUGGACUAAGCGAAGAUGUCAUUCUGAAAACAAUGAAACAGCACAAAUGUACAUCUUCUUCUCCUGAGUUGCAUCAGUACAUGGAGCCUUGCUGUAUUUGUCAGGUAAACUAGUUAUAAACUAAAGAGUAUUCCACUCCUUUCACUACUGUACAUUAAUCAUGCAUCUGUAUACUCAGCCAUUCCUUACGCGACAAUUACACUUAGUGAGCAUAAAAGAUAAGAAAAGUGGUUUUUUAUUGUUUCUCUUGCAUGUGGAGUGAAUUAGGAUACUGCAGAUAAGAUAGAUUGGACCAGAGUUUGUUUGUUGUUUGGGAGCCUUCUGAGAUUUGGAAAACUUAGUUUCCUCUGUGUCUCUACUUAAUGUGUCUCUACUUAAAGUCACGAACUGAUGUGGAACUGUUUUUCUUGGUGCUGUUUUGACAGGAAGAAUAUGCAGAAGGUGAUGAUCUUGGGACCUUGGAAUGUGGCCAUGAGUUCCACAAGGACUGUAUCAAGCAAUGGGUCAUGCUCAAGAAUCUCUGCCCCAUAUGUAAGACCGUGGCAUUAACAACGUGAUGGUACUCUCAUCUUAAUUGCGCAUCCCGGCUCCAUUCAUCAUCCUUUCGAUGCCAAAAGAAAAGAAAAAAACAAAAAAUUAAAGAACUGUUCUUCUAUCUAUCCCUAUCUCAUAUCAAAUAUUUAAUUGUUAUGCUUGCUCGUUAUGUCACACUGUUAAGAGAACAUUAUGACAAACAAAUUCAUAACAUAUCCAUGGAGAAAGAAUAAUUCAUUAGAAUCCUUUUGUAAUUGUUGAUAGUUGAUUGUUCAUUUCUUAAUAACAUGCCUUUCAAUUUCUUACAAAGAUUUUGGUUUUCAAAUUUUCUCAAAAGUAAAAACAGGAAUGCUUAAACUACAGAAUCAUGUACAAUAAAAGAGUUCACAUUUCUUGUUCCCAAUGAGAAUCAUUUCCUCAUAAUAAGAUGCUUUAAAGUUCUCACAAAUGUUUUGUUUAUGACAAUUGAGCAGUAUAAAUGCUUAAACUACAGAUAUCAUGUGUCUUAAUGUGUCUCUACUUAUGCUCUUGUUCCCAAUGAGAAUAAUCCCCUUUUUUUACUAGAAUCUUUUGUAAAUAGUUCACAGUUGAUUUCUUAAUAAGAUUCUUUAAAAUUCUUACAAAUAUUUUGUUUUUGAGAAUUGAGCAGUAGAAAUGCUUAGACUAGGGAAACAAAGCUUAUGUAGUAAAAACUCUUCUGUCUAAGGAAAGAGUAAAGAGCAUGUACAAUAAAACUCGGCCUGCUCAGGCAAAGCGCUGACAUUGAGAAAGAACACUUGAAAGAAAACGCACCGUCUCAUCAGAGUUGGGCUCCCCUAAAUGGCGUUGAUGAGUUUGGUCCCUGUAGCAGGAUCUUCAUCUAUGGCAACAACAUCGCUGAACUUGUCAAAAAGCUGCUCCAACUGAUCCACUCCCAUCUUAUUGUAAUCCAGUGACCUCUUGUACCUUUGCUUGUAUACCGCCUCAAAACAAUCCAUCCGCACGCGACAACCAUAGCUAACCAUAAUGUCUUGCAGCUCCAACUUGAACUCUUCCAGGCUCCUCUCGCUCUGAGUCGAACCAGUAUCCGAGAGUUCAUCAGAUGAGACUCCUCCUCCAUUGGUAGUAAUGCUGAUAUCUUUGUCUUUAUUCUCUCUCCUCAGUAGAACCACAGGCGGAGGAGAAGGAGGAGAGACACGGCUCGGUCUGGAGCUCCGAAGAUAAACAAACCUCUUGUUGCCUUUACCAUCCACAGCAAUCACAUCACCCAUCUUCUUGAAAAGAUCCACAAGCUUAGGCGAACCAUAAUCCGCCACAAAAAGAGGUUUACUAAAAUUCCUUUGAUACUCAGAAGGAACACGCAUGAGAGGCAUACACCCACCCGAAAGCUCCAAAAGCUUCACUAGCUGUCCCUUCAAACCAUUCAAAUCUCCAGGCGCUACCCACAUGGUGGACUCAAGGUGGCCAGGAGGAGGAUAACAUGACGGCAUCAUGCUGCUACUGCUACUACACUCAUUCUGAAACUGAGAAACCAUCAAGGAAGAAGCUUCUCUAGAGUUACCACUAUAAAAACUCUGAGACACACCUCUAUAAAGAAUCGUCUCAUCUUCAUUCACCGCCCCAUCAAGAUUAUUACUGCCACAUCCCAUCAGAUAGGUCCCAACACGAGGCCUCGGCAACGGCACAAACCCUUCACCGUGAACAAUGCUUUGCCAGUCCCAAACAAACUUACCAGCACUAGUCAAAGCCGGGUUCACGUACACGCCAGAAGGUAUAAUGACAACCACACUGUGCCCACGCUGGCCAAGCACGUGAAGAGCGGGAGCGAAAUCAACAUCUCCAGUGAUGAUAACGAUAGUGGAAGGAGGAGGAUGGUCAAGCACGAACAGGAACAUGUCGAGGAGGAUAGCUUUAUCAGCUGCGUCUUUCCUGCCGUUGGGUACAUCGACGAGUUUGACACCUGUCCUCUGACAGCCUUCCCUGACGCGGCGAGGGAAGGCGUUGAAGUCGCCGAAGGCUGAGAAGACGACCACCGAGCCGGAGACCACUGGGUGGAGCUGUAUAGCGGUUCGGAUGUUACUGGCGACGUCUUCGGGACGUACGUCGCUGGGGACGGGACAGUUUUCGAUGUCCCAGAGGACUGCUAGAGGAGCUUCGCGUCUCUGUGUGGCGGCCAUUAGGUUGAAAUCGCUUGCAAAGGAAUCAACGGAGACGAUCGCUGUUUCUGAUGGUGACAUUGCUUUUUGUAUCAUCAUCAAUCGCUGGCUUCUAUUAACAAACAAAAACACUUCGAGUAUGGUUUUAGCUAGGGAUUAGAGAAAUUGAGAUGAAGAUUAAGCAGAUCGAAAGCAUAGUACCUGAUGCACAGAGACGGAUCUUGAAGAUGAGAGAGAGAUUUCACGAUUCUGCAGAAUCUUAAGGGAAAGAUGAUAUUUCUUCUCCGGCGGAAAAAGGAAAUUAAAAUUGUUUUGGAGCUUUCACCGACUCUCUUUCUAAGUUUUCUCUUUCGUGGGCUUAUGUAGUUCCUUAAAAGCCCAUUUCCGCCAUUUUCUAUCUUCUUUGAAAACUUUUGUUUUUGUUCGUAAAACUUAGGAUUUAGAAUCACUAAGUUCUUAGUAGGGGUUAUUGGUUGUUGUAUUUUAAUGGAUUUGAAAAUCCGAACUAAAUCUAGAGGAGCUAUUGGCACUUGGGGAACGCAUAGGAGAUGUGAGCACUGGACUUAGCGAAGAUGUCAUUCUGAAAACUAUGAAACAGCACAAAUGUACAUCUUCUUCUCCUGAGUUGCAUCAGUACAUGGAGCCUUGCUGUAUUUGUCAGGUAAACUAGUUAUAAACUAAAGAGUAUUCCUUUUCACUACUGUACAUUAAUCAUGCAUCUGUAUACUCAGCUUGGCCAGAAGGCCAUUCCUUACGCGACAAUUACACUUAGUGAGCAUAAAAGAUAAGAAAAGUGGUUUUUUAUUGUUUCUCUUGCAUGUGGAGUGAAUUAGGAUACUGCAGAUAAGAUAGAUUGGACCAGAGUUUGUUUGUUGUUUGGGAGCCUUCUGAGAUUUGGAAAACUUAGUUUCCUCUGUGUCUCUACUUAAUGUGUCUCUACUUAAAGUCACGAACUGAUGUGGAACUGUUUUUCUUGGUGCUGUUUUGACAGGAAGAAUAUGCAGAAGGUGAUGAUCUUGGGACCUUGGAAUGUGGCCAUGAGUUCCACAAGGACUGUAUCAAGCAAUGGGUCAUGCUCAAGAAUCUCUGCCCCAUAUGUAAGACCGUGGCAUUAACAACGUGAUGGUACUCUCAUCUUAAUUGCGCAUCCCGGCUCCAUUCAUCAUCCUUUCGAUGCCAAAAGAAAAGAAAAAAAAAAUAUUUUAAAGAACUGUUCUAUCUAUCCCUAUUCUCAUAUCAAAUAUUUAAUUGUUAUGCUUGCUCGUUAUGUCACACUGUUAAGAGAACAUUAUGACAAACAAAUUCAUAACAUAUCCAUGGAGAAAGAAUAAUUCAUUAGAAUCCUUUUGUAAUUGUUGAUAGUUGAUUGUUCAUUUCUUAAUAACAUGCCUUUCAAUUUCUUAAGCAUUUCACUUGGUGGAACUUCUGUGCGUCCCACUGGCUCUUUGCAACAGAAUAUACUAUUAAACGCUCCUUCCUCUGUAGAUCCUCUAGAUGUGAGGUCAACAGCAUUCGCUAGUGGCUCAAGCAGUGGUGAGCAUCCGACAAAUAUAGUCCAUCACCCUGCUUUGACGAGGAACAUACACCAGUUUUCUUGGGAUAGAGGAAGCGGUUCUUCGGGUGUUGAAAUGCCACAGUGGGAAACACCAAGAAGCAAUCCGGAGCAGCCCACCAUGUUUGCACCUCCAACUGACAUUAGAAACCCUGUGCAUGAUCAAUCCAUGUGGAGUUUCACACGUGGGAGUCCUGUAGAUUCUCCGUUCGCUUCUCGAGGAGGGCCGAGUUCAGCUAUUCAUGGGCAGCAGCA